UCUCCGUUGGUGAACCAGCGGAGGGAUCAUUACAGGACUAGCAAGCCCCCUAUACCACCGUGAACUUAACUAUAAGAAAGUUGCUUUGGCGGGUGUCCCGGAGGGGGCUGCCCCUCCCCGAGACGCUAAACCCGCCGGCCACCUACUAUACCCCGUCCCUUAGCGUUGGCAAAGAGAGCACACUCAAACAAGAUCAAACUUUCAACAACGGAUCAAUUAGUUCUGGCAUCGUUGCAGAACGGAGCAGAAAGGAAGAGGACACGACUGACAUCCAGUCAC
rnacentral:misc_RNA from 1 species